rnacentral:rRNA from 1 species
AUUGAACGCUGGCGGCAGGCCUAACACAUGCAAGUCGAGCGGAUGAAGGGAGCUUGCUUCUGGAUUCAGCGGCGGACGGGUGAGUAAUGCCUAGGAAUCUGCCUGGUAGUGGGGGAUAACGUCCGGAAACGGGCGCUAAUACCGCAUACGUCCUGAGGGAGAAAGUGGGGGAUCUUCGGACCUCACGCUAUCAGAUGAGCCUAGGUCGGAUUAGCUAGUUGGUGGGGUAAAGGCCUACCAAGGCGACGAUCCGUAACUGGUCUGAGAGGAUGAUCAGUCACACUGGAACUGAGACACGGUCCAGACUCCUACGGGAGGCAGCAGUGGGGAAUAUUGGACAAUGGGCGCAAGCCUGAUCCAGCCAUGCCGCGUGUGUGAAGAAGGUCUUCGGAUUGUAAAGCACUUUAAGUGGGGAGGAAGAGCAGUAGGUUAAUACCUUGCUGUUUUGACGUUACCAACAGAAUAAGCACCGGCUAACUUCGUG